AUGUUCUGUAUGCAUAUCAAGGUGCCUAACAACUACCAGCAGUUCAUGAGCAUCCCGACUGCCCAUGUUAACUCCGCCUCCUACUUCUCGACGGACGCUGCAUCCUUCCCCGGCAGGCUGGCAAUGGCUGCGUGCCUGCGCCCUGCUGCUUCCACGCCGGUGUCGGCCACCGCGCCCAGUCGCCAUGGCCAGCGGCAGCAGUCUCCUCGGCGGCCGGCAGUGUGCAGGUGUGCACCCUGGCACUGGGGACUGGAGGCGUGCAACAUAGAAGGCCAGCAGCUAGUAGCUGAGCAGCUGUACAGAGCCGGAGAUGGUGGCCUCUAUUCAUGA
rnacentral:rRNA from 1 species